rnacentral:misc_RNA from 1 species
AAGUCGUAACAAGGUUUCCGUAGGUGAACCUGCGGAAGGAUCAUUACCUAGAGUUGUAGGCUUUGCCUGCUAUCUCUUACCCAUGUCUUUUGAGUACCUUCGUUUCCUCGGCGGGUUCGCCCGCCGAUUGGACAAUUUAAACCACUUGCAGUUGCAAUCAGCGUCUGAAAAACAUAAUAAUUACAA